rnacentral:lncRNA from 1 species
AUCCGUGAAACAUUUAAAACGAUUUUAGACUACAAAAUAGAAAAAACAUAGCAAAAUGACAACUCUUCAAGUCUUAAACACUCACCUCUCCACUAAUAUUUAAACAUAACCCAGUUUUUUACAGCUCUAUUCUCAACGGAAAGUUUUUUUUUUUUUUUUUUAAAUUUCAAUCUAGUAACAACUUUUUUGUCGUCAAUGGUAAAGACAACUACUAUGUACAUUUCACUAAUUCACCCUCUAGUUAAUGAAAACAUUUGUGUUUUAAAAAGAAAGGUCAAAUUAGAUGUUAAUUCCAAAUAGAUUAAAAACUUAUCCAAAUAAGUAAUUUAAUCUUUUGGUGAAAAACAUAUGAAUUGAUUGACGUAAAUUAAAUGUGAAAAGUAUAAGUGACACCUUUAAAUUGGUUUCAGACUACAUAUCAAGAAAAAACAUAGCAUAAUGACAAUUCUUAAAGACUUAAACACUUAC